rnacentral:rRNA from 1 species
ACGUCUACAUUAGAUACCCCUGUAGUCCUAGGCGUAAAUGAUGCGAGUUAAGUGUGGGGCAUCUACGAGAUGGCCCUGUGCUGUAGGGUAGCCGUUAAACUCGCUGCCUGGGAGUACGGUCGCAAGGCUGAAACUUAAAGGAAUUGGCGGGGAGCACCACAACGCGUGGAGCCUGCGGUUUAAUUGGAUUCAACACCGGACAUCUCACCAGGGCGACAGCAGAAUGAUGGCCAGGUUGAUGACCUUGCUUGACAAGCUG